GGUCAGUACACCUCAUAAAGGUCUCCCAGUAGAUGAGGCCCAGGGUUAGAGGUCAGGGGUCAGGGGUUAUUACCUGGGGAGAGGUCAGUACACCUCAUAAAGGUCUCCCAGUAGAUGAGGCCCAGGGUUAGAGGUCAGGGAGGGGUUAUUACCUGGGAAGAGGUCAGUACACCUCAUAAAGGUCUCCCAGUAGACGAGGCCCAGGGUUAGAGGUCAGGGGUCAGGGAGAGGUCAGUACACCUCAUAAAGGUCUCCCAGUAGAUGAGGCCCAGGGUUAGAGGUCAGGGGUCAGGGAGAGGUCAGUACACCUCAUAAAGGUCUCCCAGUAGACGAGGCCCAGGGUUAGAGGUCAGGGGUCAGGGAGAGGUCAGUACACCUCAUGAAGGUCUCCCAGUAGACGAGGCCCAGGGUUAGAGGUCAGGGGUCAGGGAGGGGUUAUUACCUGGGAAGAGGUCAGUACACCUCAUAAAGGUCUCCCAGUAGACGAGGCCCAGGGUUAGAGGUCAGGGGUCAGGGAGAGGUCAGUACACCUCAUAAAGGUCUCC